rnacentral:misc_RNA from 1 species
GAUGAAGAACGUAGCAAAAUGCGAUACUUGGUGUGAAUUGCAGAAUCCCGUGAACCAUCGAGUUUUUGAACGCAAGUUGCGCCCGAAGCCUUUUGGCCGAGGGCACGUCUGCCUGGGCGUCACGCAUCGCGUCGCCACCCACAAUUCUCCGUAAAGGGAACAUGUGUUUUGGGGGCGGAUAUUGGUCUCCCGUGCUCAUGGCGUGGUUGGCCGAAAUAGGAGUCCUUUCGAUGGACGCACGAACUAGUGGUGGUCGUAAAAACCCUCGUCUUUUGUUUCGUGCUGUUGCUCGCAAGGUAAACUCUUUAAAAACCCCAAUGUGUCGUCUCUUGACGACGCUUCGACCGCGACCCCAGGUCAGGCGGGACUACCCGCUGAGUUUAAGCAUAUCAAUAAGCGGAGGA